CGAACAAUGUGUCAACCUGCAAAAGACUGAGCAUUAUAACUGAAAAUGGCAAAAGAUUCACUCUAUUGAACUUCACAUCAUUAUUUGAUGUUAAACAAUGAGGCAAAUCCCAACAGUAUAUACAAAAACCAGCUUUGCUUUUACAAAAGAUUUUGUUUCCCAUAUUGAUUAAUCCAGGCAGCUAACUCAUUGGUUUAUGCAACUUUAUUGAAGAAAAUAAAUCAAUUACUAGUAGAGCUAUUAGUUGAUCACUCAUCCAUUUACAACUUGCAUCAUUUAUUCAGUGCUAUAUUAAACAGUGUUUUGGAAGACAGAUUAACUAAUAGCUCCAAGCCUCCUAACAAAAUUUAAAUGAAUUACAAAAAUGUUCUUAGACCCUAUUUUGGAAUACAAGGGAUGUUUGACUUCCAAUUUCCAUUCUCUGUAAAACAAGAACUGGUCAUUCCUUUAUUGACAUGCAUAAGAUACAUCACAUUUUCUGUUCUGCUGAUGCUAUAGAUUCAGUACCAAUUCUCCAGACAUAUCAGUUAUGAGCAAAUGUAUAUAAUAAAACCUCAGUUCUCUAACACUAGAAGGUUUGUAACAAGAUGGAUGUUGCUACAGCAAUGUUACUUCUUUGAUGGGAGAAAACUGAACAUCCAUCUCCUCUCACCCCUUUCAGGUGGCAUCUUCAGUAUCUGUUAGAGCAAUGAGGAAUGUAUUUUUUUAAUCUCAUAACCAAGUUAGAAUGAAGACAUUGGCCACAUAAUACACAUGCUCCAUUAAAAAAAAAUUCUGAAUCUUGGGCAAUUGUUCUUGUGUAACUACUUUACAGAUUCUAAAAGCAGUUAUUGUCCAAAGCUGGAAGAACUAAAGUCUUCUCAGAUGAGCAUGUGCAUGAAUGGAAGGAGGUAAACAAAAAAAUAAAAAAGAUGAGGUCUGAUAGGGGAGCAGCCGGAUAAGAAAAUCAAAAAAGGAACAGUAAUUUAAAGUUUAUUCCAGCUAUAAUGCAGGUUAUUCUGACUUUAAGGUAGCAUCACAUGGCAUACUUCUGAGUCCAUUCCCGAGAUAUUCUGUUGUACCCUACAGCAUAGCGUAUUUCUCUGUCCACUCUCUUGCUAACCUAUUGUACUUGUCUCUGUCUGUUUUAUAGAUACGUGCAAUCUCUGGCACUAGAGGGUCAUCUGGAUUUGGAUCACAUAACAGUGAACAAAUGGAUAAGAGAACUUUAGAAAUAGUUAAAGCAGGAGACCACUGUGAUCUUAGAAUAUCGAGACAAAUGCUGCCAUUACUGUUAAUAUUUGGAUGAUAGAUUCUUGUUGUAAAUGCAACCUUAGGUGGUUUGAAAGGGUAGUCUGUAGGAAAGUGAAUUGUCAAGAAGAAUACACCACCCUGAUAUGGACUGUCAUUAGGUCCCAUAAUUGUGGCUUGCCAAUGAAACAUGUCAUCUCCAACGGGACCUGCUGAACACUGUGCGGGAGGAUCGCGAGCUAAGUCACUAAGUUCCUUGUUGAUGCGUUUCAGCGCCAUUGUGUGCGAGUGCCGCCGCCGCCGGGGCCGUCUGUGCGCCGCGGUGACUCCGCGCUCCGCUCGCGCUGCGGGGGGGCCGGGAGGAGGGCGCGAGGAGGAGGAGGAGGAGAAGGAAGGCGGGGAGGGGGAGGGGGCAGCCGCGCCGCUCCUUCCUGCGGAAGCCGCCGAAGGGGGCGCCCGAGCGGAGCGGAGAGCGGCGGCCGGCAGAGCGCUGCGGACGGCGAGCCGUGCGCCUGAGGGAGCGCUGCGUCCGCCGCGUCCCGUCACUGCCGGGAGGAGCAGCAGAAGGAAGGGGGGAGCCGCGAGGCGCCACCCGACAAACAGGAGAGGAGAGCAGAGCAAGCGGAACAACGCCGCGCAGCGUCGCCGUCGCCGGCCAGGCCCGAACCCGGGGGAGGAGGGGGCGGAGCGUGCCUGUCUCCAGCCACACCCCGGGGGCUGCACACGGGAGGGGCGGGAAAGCAGAGUCAGGGGGCAUUGUGGCUCCGCCCGCACAACGGGGAGGGGGGGGUGCGUGCGUUGAGGUGUCUCGCGAGAGGUGGGCGCGAGCCGCGCCGACGCAGAGGAAGGGAGGGGUGGUUUGGGCCCUGCCUGCCGAGCGGCGUCUCUGCGGUGCCGCUCCCCCCGGUACUGACGGCGAACCGCCGCCCUGCCCGGCGUAGCGCUGCGCGCACAAAAUGGCCGCGGCUGGUCCUACAUCGCUGCGAUGACGCGGCGGUAUCCUUCCGCGGGAGGGCACUUCGCACUUCCCCGACCGUGUGUCCUUGCGCUGCUGCGGAAAUAAGCGCUGCCCGCGCUCGCUUCCGCCACUACAGAAACGUAAAAUAAGGCGGCCCCGUUCCGAGCUCCCGGUGCUGCUGCCCGCCCGGCUGUGUGCCGCAAAGGGCACCGCAGCGCCAUAGAGAGGAAGGGGGGUCCCGUGGAGGAGCGGCGGCCCCGGAACAAAGGGCCGGGCUGAGGGACGACGACCCAUCAACUCAUUCGUUAUAAUGGCCCGAUAGCACUGCUGUCGGUUUUUUGCUACCUUGCGUGCUAGUUACACUAGCCCGGAGGAGGCAGCACGUUAUAAAGCUCCUUCACUUUGCUUGUUUCGUGGUACUAUCUGCAUACUCAGGAAGUGCAGCCCCGAACUGUUCUGUUCAUGUUCUUAUCGUCUUAAUCGGGAAUAGCACUGCAAAACACCUCGCUGUUCUUCGCCCAGUGUGGGUUAGGCAGCGUUGGUACGCCCUUCCAAAGCACCACUACAGCUGUAUUUCUGUCACAGAAGCUGCCUUUUAAAUUGCUUACACAGUUCCUUUUCCUUUACUCUUUCUCGUCUCGGGAGAGGUAUUUAGCAAUAUUUCAGUUGUACGUUUCUAAUUUGAGGCUAAUGACCUCCAGUGUGACUCCAUAUAUAAUAAAGAUAUUUGGCUUGCGUUUGGCACUUUGCUGUAUAAAAGAGAAAUAAAGAACUGCACAGACAUCCUGUUGACAGUGUGUACUUUUCCCUGCUCAUUUAAUGCAGUGGGUGUUGUUAAUUUGGUAAAUCAAGUUGUGUUUCCUGCAUUUCAGCAGUUGUGUGUUAAAUUCCAUCAGUGUUUUGUAUUGUCUUUCUUUACAGCCGUUAGUGUAAAUGCUCAGAAAUAGGUCUGCAUUUAUUGCUUUAGAAUACUUCUUUAGAGAAAUACUUUAUUGUGCUCAAUGUUGUUUUUAUAUAUAUAUAUAAAUAUAAAUUUAAAUAUUUACCUUUACACACAGUUGAGAAAAAUAACUAAAAAUAAUGACUGUUAAGGUAUGAAACACAGUCCUAUGGCCAUUUCUGCAAGUCACAGCACACAGUGCUGCUUGGAGAGCGUUGUAUGUCUCACCUUCACCUUCUUUACCUCAAACUCUAAGGUAAAAAUCAUGUAGUUUCCCCUCAGCUUUGGAAGUGAAUAAAGAAGUAGAAUUUUUACUUAAGUAGGAAUACUUGUGUCACUAAGGCCUUGCAACCUUAAUGUAUUAAUGUGCCAUAUAUAUAAUGAGUUUCUCACCCUUACUGUAUGGAGUAGGUGCACUGUAAUACUACUUGCAGAGAUGCCUCAUAUUAGUAAUAUAAAAUGCAAGAGGCACAGAUGAUGGAUGGUGAAUAUGAAUGGGUGUGGCAACUCAGUGUGGGAUUACCUGGUCUAUUUGGGCUUGCUUCAUUUUAAUUUGAUUUUUGAAGCUAAUCCUCAGAAGCGGUUGAAUAGAGCUAUGUCUGCCACGUCUAAUUCUUAUACACCAGUGAAGCUGAGUUUAAUUUUCAGAGGUUUAUUAUGCAAAAAUUGGUCAGCAGAUGUGGCAUGGUAAUAAACAGUUCCCAGAAAAUACCCACAACAAGCAAGCUGACUUGAAUUUGAUUGCUUUUUUAAGCACAGCAUUGCAGGGUCCUGUGCAGCCAUGUGGUCGACAACCUCUGAAGGGAGUUUUGCCAGUUUGCUUCAGCUGCUUUGUGAUGGUCCAGCAGUACAAGCGUGAAUGGAGAUUGCCUUGAUAUAGCACUUCUCCCAGGAUAGAGAGGACUCAAGGGAAAAGCAUUCCAGACUUAGUGUAUAACUUAGUGUAUCUUGCUUGCACAUCGAUGUCAGGUUUUUCGCUUCUACUGUAAAAUGACCACUCAUUUUUACAAUUCCAGCAUACUUUUCUACCUGUCUUAGAAAAAGGAAGAGCAACCAAGCACCCCAGACACCAAGCAGCAUUCCACUUACAGCACUUCAUUAUAUGCAAGGGUCUUUUUUCAGGAAAAAAAAAAUGCUUUGACAAAAUAGCAAGACAGCCUCCUUAUUAGUCCACACGGUAGAUCGUUAUUGGUAGCUCAUUAUUAGCUCCUGCUUGGAGGAAGCGAAACGCAACAGCUUCUGCUGCUGAAAAACAAAACACUAAGAUGAAAAACAACAACAGCUCUCCC
rnacentral:lncRNA from 1 species